rnacentral:rRNA from 1 species
UACGUAGGAUGCAAGCGUUGUCCGGAUUUAUUGGGUUUAAAGGGUGGUUAGGCGGCCUAUUAAGUUAGUGGUGAAAACGUUCGGCUUAACCGAAUACCCGCCAUUGAUACUGAUAGACUUGAGUGCGACAGAGGGUGUUGGAAUGUGUGGUGUAGCGGUGAAAUGCUUAGAUAUCACGCAGAACACCAAUUGCGAAGGCAGAUGCCUAUGUCGUAACUGACGCUGAGGCACGAAAGCGUGGGGAGCAAACAGG